UCAUGGACCUAGCUCAGUCAGUAGAGCAUGAGACACUUAAUCUCAGGGUUCUGGGUUCUAGCCCCACAUUGGAUGAA
rnacentral:tRNA from 1 species